GUCCAGACCUGGAGACAUGUGGAACCCUCUGGUCAGGUUAUGGCUAUCCCUGCUCACCAAGUCUGGCAACUCAACAUCCAGCAGUGCCCUUGCACUAGUUAAGAAAAAGCAACUGAAUUUGCAAAAGGGAGCUGCAAUGUUGGCUGAAUGUAAGCAGCAGCAGAAUCAAUCCCAUCACUGCCAAGACACAGUUGCUGAUGCAGGAUUCUGAACUUCAGAGGAAACAAAGUAAUUCUCCCUGUGGAGACAUUGAACCUGUAGAGACCAAAGAAGCUUUGAGGAGAGAAGGAGGCUGAGAGCAGAUUUGCACCAGGCCAUUCAGAAAGGGCAUCUUGAAGAGAACUCCUGGAGUUUGGUUGUAAAGCAAGGCGUGGAACCAGAAAUAACCUGAGAACUUGCUGGUGUUGCAGUCUUCCAAGAGCUGCAAGAAAUAUCCGGGUACCCAGAGGUGGUAGUGAAACUACAGCACCUCGAACACAUGCACCCUGAUUGUAAUUGAUAGCUAUAAGCAUGGAAGAUUUGUCAUUCUUUAUAAAUAUGUUGUUUCAUUCAUUCUUCCAUCCAAUUUCCAUUCAUUCAUUCUGUGGUGGUUUAAAGGAAGGUGGUCCUCACAGG
ensembl:lncRNA